rnacentral:rRNA from 1 species
UACAGAGGGUGCGAGCGUUAAUCGGAAUUACUGGGCGUAAAGCGCGCGUAGGCGGCUUUGCAAGACAGAUGUGAAAUCCCCGGGCUUAACCUGGGAACUGCAUUUGUGACUGCAUGGCUAGAGUGCGGCAGAGGGGGAUGGAAUUCCGCGUGUAGCAGUGAAAUGCGUAGAUAUGCGGAGGAACACCGAUGGCGAAGGCAAUCCCCUGGGCCUGCACUGACGCUCAUGCACGAAAGCGUGGGGAGCAAACAGG